UUGAAUAUAGGCUUGUUAGUUGCAGAAGGGUUACCUAUUCGUGAUUCUGCUUGGAUCGGCUACAUGCUGUUUCGUUCCAUUCAAACCUCAGUCUGUUUGUGGUUAGGCUCAGAGAUCAGGCUAGGCCACGAGUCAGCAAAGUGAUACCAAGGUCAGCCUGAAAAUAAAGUAUAUACGUUCUGGGAAUGUCAUGGAGCAGACGGCCAGGUGGUCAGCCUUACUGGUUGGAAUGAUCUAUGGCAAGAAGAGAUAUGAUUACCUGAAGCCCAUUGCAGAGGAGGAGAGGAUAGUGGAAGCUGCAGAGAAGAAGCAGCGUGAAGAAGCAGAGCGCAUUGCAAAACAGCUGGCAGAAG